rnacentral:rRNA from 1 species
GGUGAACGCUGGCGGCGUGCCUAAUACAUGCAAGUCGAACGAAGUCUUCGGACUUAGUGGCGAACGGGUGAGUAACACGUUGGUACCUACCCCGAAGUGGGGAAUAACUGCCCGAAAGGGUGGCUAAUACCGCAUAAUACCACAAGGUUAAAGCAGUAAUGCGCUUCGGGAGGGGCCUGCGUCCCAUUAGCUAGUUGGUAGGGUAAUGGCCUACCAAGGCGACGAUGGGUAGCUGGAUCGAGAGGUUGACCAGCCACACUGGGACUGAGAUACGGCCCAGACUCCUACGGGAGGCAGCAGUAAGGAAUCUUCCACAAUGGACGAAAGUCUGAUGGAGCGACGCCGCGUGCAGGAUGACGGCCUUCGGGUUGUAAACUGCUUUUAUACGGGAAGAUUAUGACGGUACCGUAUGAAUAAGGACCGGCUAACUACGUGCCAGCAGCCGCAGUAA